rnacentral:rRNA from 1 species
GACGAACGCUGGCGGCGUGCCUAAUACAUGCAAGUAGAACGCUGAAGAGAGGAGCUUGCUCUUCUUGGAUGAGUUGCGAACGGGUGAGUAACGCGUAGGUAACCUGCCUGGUAGCGGGGGAUAACUAUUGGAAACGAUAGCUAAUACCGCAUAAAAUUGAUUAUUGCAUGAUAAUUAAUUGAAAGAUGCAACUGCAUCACUACCAGAUGGACCUGCGUUCGAUUAGCUAGUUGGUGAGGUAACGGCUCACCAAGGCGACGGUACAUAGCCGACCUGAGAGGGUGAUCGGCCACCCUGGGACUGAGACACGGCCCAGACUCCUACGGGAGGCAGCAGUAGGGAAGCUGCAGCAAUGGGGGGAACCCUGAGCGAGCAACGCCGCGGGAGUGAAGAAGGUGUCCGGAUUGUAGAGCGCUGUCGUAAGAGAAGAGCGGGUGUGAGAGGGGAAAUUUCACACUGUGACGGUAUCUUAUCAGAAAGCGACGGCUAACUACGUG